rnacentral:misc_RNA from 1 species
AAAAAAUGGUAAAUAUAAAAGCUACUACUCAUUGCUCAUAAUAAUUCAAGUAAACCGAAUAAAUGGUAACACAAAGCUACCAUCUUUCUUUAUUGUCCCUACUAAUUCAAUUUUAUUUCUGUAAUAUAUAAGCUCUCAUGGUACUACAGGCAUCGUUUCAACAAUCUAGCAAAGCAGAAACAGCACACUAGCUGCCUGACAUUUUCAUUGUUCAUAGUAACUCGAAUUUAGUUCUAAAUAAUGAAGUUUCAAGAUUCAUCACAAUUUGAGGCAGCUUUUUCGUUCUAGCAAUCAAAACAACACACUAGCUGAACAGGCAUGAUAUGGUUACUUAAUUAGGAGGACCCAGUUUUUGCAGCUCUGAAUUUGGCUGCAAGAGACUUUCCAAACUCAACAAGCUUAUCAAUUUCUGGCAUGACAUCCUUCACAGCAGGAUGAGAAGAGAAGGUGUCAGCCCAUUUUGCAAGACCUGGAGUUUUUGCUUCAUCUAGCAGCUUCACUUCACUCAUCUUCUCUGAGGCUCUUAACCACCCCAAGUAGCAACCAAAUGCUAUGUCAAGGUACCCAAUUUGGUCUCCUCCAAAGAAAGUUUUCCCUUUGCUAAUCUUCACAAAUGCAUCCUCCAGCAGGUCAAGCCCUUCAACUAUUGUCCCUAUAACCUGAUCUUUUGCCUCUCCUUCAGCAGUUAAAAGGAUUCUCAAAUUUGGAAACCACUUCUCAUCGACAUAGGUGCCCCAAAAUUUUGCAAUAGCACGAUCAUAUGGAUCAGAGGGAAGAAUAGAUGGACCAGAAGACCAAGUCUCAUCAAUGUACUCUACAAUGAUGAGAGACUCACAAAUAGGCUUGCCCUUGUGAAUGAGAACAGGGAUUUUCUUGUGGACAGGAUUAGAUUCAAGAAGGAGCUGGCUUUUUGAUCCAAGAGUUUCCUGAAGAAACUCAUAGUCAACAGAUUUGAUGUUAAGGGCAAUUCUUGGCCUCAUAACAUAUGGGCUAGGCCAUGCUCCUAGAAGCUUGAGCUCAGUCCUAGCCAUGGCUGUACUGUGAAAAGCUUUUAGGGAAGCAGAUGGGUUAAAUAGGCAUGGAAGGGGAGGUUGGAAUAGCGUGUGAAAAAGGUGGUAGGUGUUUAAUGUGAAACAAGAUGGUGUACUCGUGGAAUUGGAAGAGCAGUUGGCUUCUUCUAUGAGAAUUCAUCCCACAAGUUCUGGGCAUUUAUGCGCAAGUCAUUGAAGUGUUUUCUGUAGAACGAAUGAUCUUG